rnacentral:tRNA from 1 species
CGGGGCGUAGCGUAGCUUGGUAGCGCGUCUGGAUGGGGUCCAGAAGGUCGCUGGUUCGAAUCCAGUCGCCCCGACCA